ACUGUAUUGACAACAUCAGCUUCCAAACAGCAUUGUUUAAAGGCUGAACUGAAUUACAGUUUAAUUGGUUAAUGAGAUACAUCUAAGAAGAUAUAGCAAACAAGGCCACAGGUUGGAGAAAAUCAGGAAUCUAACAGGAGUAGGGGAGUAAAGGUGAACUGAAGAGCAGAAACAACCACCCAGGAAUGAUGAGAGUCUGAAGCAAAACUUCUACCACAUUUGGAGUGCCUUCGUUGCGUUGAUCCUUCAAGAUAGGCUAGUGGAGUGAAUCAAUUGGUGCUGCACACCCAGCACCCACACCACUGAUAUGUUGGAGGUCUCCCAGUACGCCUCCAUAGGAAAGUUAUAAUUCUGCAAGAUGGCUACGAGGUGAUAAUCAGUGGUAAUGCUGCAGCAACUGGACUGCCAGCUGGA
rnacentral:lncRNA from 1 species